rnacentral:rRNA from 1 species
UACGUAGGGGGCAAGCGUUGUCCGGAUUUAUUGGGCGUAAAGAGCGUGUAGGCGGUUUGGUAGGUCCGCUGUGAAAACUCGAGGCUCAACCUCGAGACGCCGGUGGAAACCAUCAGGCUAGAGUCCGGAAGAGGAGAGUGGAAUUCCUGGUGUAGCGGUGAAAUGCGCAGAUAUCGGGAAGAACACCCGUGGCGAAAGCGGCUCUCUGGGACGGUACUGACGCUGAGACGCGAAAGCGUGGGGAGCAACGGG